rnacentral:rRNA from 1 species
AGGGCACCACCAGGAGUGGAGCCUGCGGCUUAAUUUGACUCAACACGGGAAAACUCACCCGGCCCGGACACUGGAAGGAUUGACAGAUUGAGAGCUCUUUCUUGAUUCAGUGGGUGGUGGUGCAUGGCCGUUCUUAGUUGGUGGAGCGAUUUGUCUGGUUAAUUCCGAUAACGAACGAGACUCUAGCCUACUAAAUAGACUGCUCAACUUUAUAGCUGCAUCACCUUGCGGUUGCUUCGGUGGCCGUAAGGCUGUGGUGACGUUGGCAGUGCUUCUUAGAGGGACAGGCGGCGGUUCAGCCGCACGAAACAGAGCAAUGACAGGUCUGUGAUGCCCUUAGACGUCCAGGGCCGCACGCGCGCUACACUGAAGUGAUCAGCGUGCAAUUAACGUUUCCUACUCCGUCAGGAGUGGGUAACCCGUUGAACCUUCUUCGUGAUUGGGAUAGGGGAUUGUAAUUAUUCCCCUUGAACGAGGAAUUCCCAGUAAGCGCAAGUCAUAAGCUUGCGUUGAUACGUC